GGAAGGAGAGUCGCUCCCAGAUAGCCCUCACAAGUGGCCCUGGAGCAGGAAGUGGUGAAGCAGAUCUUCCUUGUUUGGGAGGAGCCUGAGGUGGACCUCUCGUCCUGAGUCUGGAAGCUUCUCCUUUUCUGAUCAUACCUGCUGGCAAUAGGGAUGGCCCUACAGUCUAGAAUGAUAUAGGGGGAG
rnacentral:lncRNA from 1 species